rnacentral:tRNA from 1 species
GGGGUUGUGGCUCAGCGGUAGAGUGCUCAGUUUGCAUGUGUGAGACCCUGCGUUCGAUCCUCAGCACCACA